CUUGACUCGCAGACAAUGAUGGUCCUGGUGAAUUACAUCUUCUUUAAAGCCAAAUGGGAGAUGCCCUUUGACCCCCAAGAUACUCAUCAGUCAAGGUUCUACUUGAGCAAGAAAAAGUGGGUAAUGGUGCCCAUGAUGAGUUUGCAUCACCUGACUAUACCUUACUUCCGGGACGAGGAGCUGUCCUGCACCGUGGUGGAGCUGAAGUACACAGGCAAUGCCAGCGCACUCUUCAUCCUCCCUGAUCAAGACAAGAUGGAGGAAGUGGAAGCCAUGCUGCUCCCAGAGACCCUGAAGCGGUGGAGAGACUCUCUGGAGUUCAGAGAUAGGUGAGCUCUACCUGCCAAAGUUUUCCAUCUCGAGGGACUAUAACCUGAACGACAUACUUCUCCAGCUGGGCAUUGAGGAAGCCUUCACCAGCAAGGCUGACCUGUCAGGGAUCACAGGGGCCAGGAACCUAGCAGUCUCCCAGGUGGUCCAUAAGGCUGUGCUUGAUGUAUUUGAGGAGGGCACAGAAGCAUCUGCUGCCACAGCAGUCAAAAUCACCCUCCUUUCUGCAUUAGUGGAGACAAGGACCAUUGUGCGUUUCAACAGGCCCUUCCUGAUGAUCAUUGUCCCUACAGACACCCAGAACAUCUUCUUCAUGAGCAAAGUCACCAAUCCCAAGCAAGCCUAGAGCUUGCCAUCAAGCAGUGGGGCUCUCAGUAAGGAACUUGGAAUGCAAGCUGGAUGCCUGGGUCUCUGGGCACAGCCUGGCCC
rnacentral:lncRNA from 1 species